GUAGUCGCACGAGCGCACCCUUGCUCUUAGUUGCUACCCGCUAGGGAGACUCUUUGAGGACUGCUCCGGAUAAAGGAGAGGAAGGGGGGGAUGAGGUCAGUCAUCAUGGCCUUUUUUUCCCGGGGUACACACCUGUUACAAUGGGGGCCACAAAGCGUUGCCAACCCCCGAGGGGGAGCUAAUCGCAAAAAAACGCGCUCAGUUCGGAUUGCAGUCUGCAACUCCACUGCAUGAAGCCGGAAUCGCUUGUAAUGGCCCAUCAUAACGGCGCCCUGAAUACAUUCCCGGGCCUUGUACA
rnacentral:rRNA from 1 species